rnacentral:lncRNA from 1 species
CUAUAAUGCCCACCUGAUAUGAGAAUGGAGACUUUGGGGGGAAAGAAAGAGCAAGGUAGCAUUGGUUGCAGGCCUCAGAUCAUUAUUGGAACCCUAAAUGAGUUUGAUCAGAGGCAGGUUAGGGUUGGGGGUCCAGAAGACAAGGCAGAACAAGUCAGAGUUGUUAACACUGGCUCCAAGCUUAGGUCUUUUUGGACAUGCCCUAGAGUAAGCUCAGCACCCUGUACUUUCCACCUUGACUUCCAGUCUAGCACUAGUCAUAAAACAUGAUGGGAGGCAUCUUUUCCUUGACAGUUUAUAAGCAUGACCCUUGUAGUCUCCCAGGUAGGGGUGGGGGGAUGUCUCUCACCACCCAGAGAAAGGG